GAUGAACGCUGGCGGCGUGCCUAAUACAUGCAAGUCGAGCGAACAGAUAAGGAGCUUGCUCCUUUGACGUUAGCGGCGGACGGGUGAGUAACACGUGGGUAACCUACCUAUAAGACUGGGAUAACAUCGGGAAACCGGAGCUAAUACCGGAUAAUAUUUCGAACCGCAUGGUUCGAUAGUGAAAGAUGGUUUUGCUAUCACUUAUAGAUGGACCCGCGCCGUAUUAGCUAGUUGGUAAGGUAACGGCUUACCAAGGCGACGAUACGUAGCCGACCUGAGAGGGUGAUCGGCCACACUGGAACUGAGACACGGUCCAGACUCCUACGGGAGGCAGCAGUAGGGAAUCUUCCGCAAUGGGCGAAAGCCUGACGGAGCAACGCCGCGUGAGUGAUGAAGGUCUUCGGAUCGUAAAACUCUGUUAUUAGGGAAGAACAUACGUGUAAGUAACUGUGCACGUCUUGACGGUACCUAAUCAGAAAGCCACGGCUAACUACGUG
rnacentral:rRNA from 1 species